AACGAGGGGUCCCCGCAAUGGAGACCUGUGAACCUGGUCAGAGACGAAAGUCAGCAGCCAUAAGCAGUCAUCUUCUUGUGCGGUGGGCCUCUCGUUGCA
rnacentral:SRP_RNA from 1 species